rnacentral:rRNA from 1 species
GAUGAACGCUAGCGGCAGGCUUAAUACAUGCAAGUCGAGGGGCAGCACGGGUAGCAAUACCUGGUGGCGACCGGCAAACGGGUGCGGAACACGUACGCAACCUUCCCAUAACUGGUGAAUAGCCCUCCGAAAGGAGGAUUAAUACACCGUAACAUAAUGAAGUGGCAUCACUUUAUUAUUAUAGGCAGCAAUGUCGGUUUUGGAUGGGCGUGCGCCUGAUUAGGUAGUUGGCGGGGUAACGGUCCACCAAGCCUGCGAUCAGUAACUGGUGUGAGAGCACGACCAGUCACACGGGCACUGAGACACGGGCCCGACUCCUACGGGAGGCAGCAGUAAGGAAUAUUGGUCAAUGGACGAAAGUCUGAACCAGCCAUGCCGCGUGAAGGAUUAAGGCCCUCUGGGUUGUAAACUUCUUUUAUCUGGGACGAAAAAAGGGUAUUCUUACUCACUUGACGGUACC